UGGAUUUACGUAAUGGGGUUUACUCCCAGAAAGGUAUUCACAGGCUUGCAGCCUAACAGAGCACUCUGACAAGGGAAGACGAGAUAUACUGGCAAAGCAACAGCUGCGCCUUGUGCCCUGCCAUUUUGUUGUGGGCAGGGUGGGAGGGCAGCUUUCUCUUUUACCUUCCAUUGACUACAUUCAGAUAGAGCGCUAUGAUGCACAACCUAUGCUUGCUUGUUUGUCAGAGAAAGUCAUACCACGCCCUUUAAUAAAAUCCCUCAUGCAGCUUAUGUGAUUUUAAAAGACACUAAUAUUUAUUGGGGGGGGCAGACUUAAACAGUAAAAUCACUAAGACCUGAGAACCAGAAUAUAUUCUGUUUAGAAUGGAAUUUUUAUUUAUGCACCUGGUUCCGCUAGCAAGAACCAGCAGAAGGACUGUCACUCAUGCAAUAGGGCUUUCAUCUACCCACACCCAUAUUUCCCCCCCCAACAUACACUCUAAAGGAGAACCCCCAGAACAGCAUAUGGAUGGUGGAAAGGGCCGCUAUUUCACAAGACAGCCAGAAAUCCUUGCACUGACAGAACAAUCUCCUUAGUGCUACAUUAAAUUCCAUCCUAAGUCUACGAGCAUUCAAAAGAAACAAUGGCAAUGUAAUGCAUGAAGAAUUAAUAUUCUUGCCAGUUCUGUUUGAAAACAGAACCUUUGAGAAGCGAAACACACAAUGGUGUUAGUGUGCUGACUUUGACAAAGUUUUACUCUCUUUCAGAUCUCCUGCUCUUUGCCAUUUCCUUUAAUUGAGGAAGACUCCAGCGUUCCAAACGAGGCUGUUGUAAUCCUCAUUUCCCAGGUGAAGCCAGCUCAUAGCAAUGUUCUCUUCAAGGACCCCUACUGUGAGGCACCCUAAAAGAAACAUGUCAAUUGUAUAGUGAAAGGGACGUUAGUCUGGAACAACGUUGUUGACAUGAAGUAUUGCAUUAAACAUGAAACAAAACACUUUAUUAAGCUGGCUGAUAAGCAUGAAUAAUUGCUCACACGUGAGCUGUGUAGCGUCAAAGAAGGUACUCAUGGCAAAUUGGAGAAAAAAGGAAUUUCUGCUUUCCAUCAUGCCCUUUUCGCCGAAGAAGCUGCUGCGCUUUUUCUUCAACAUUACUCAUGCGAGGAGCCCUCUGCGCUUAUCAGCCAGCUCUUACGAGAACAAGUUCUAAAGCAGGAAAAGGCAACAAAGCAAAAACCCAUAGGUAUUUUCUCAUUUAAAACUUUCCUCCCUCACUUUUCUUUAUAGAUUAAUUUCAGGCAGCUUACGGAAUGAGUAAAACACAUCCCAAAAAUAAAAACAAGAACAACAUCCAAAAAUUGCUUCGAAAUGGUAUUGUAAGAUCAGAGCAGAUUAAAAUGAGUUGGGAGCUUGAGAAACAUCUUCAGAUGGACAGUGCAGUCCUAUGCAUAGUUACUUGAAAAUAAGUAUUGUGUUCAAUGGAGCUUACUCCCAGGUAAAUGUGCAUAGGUUUGCAGCCUAACCACAUUAAAAGUUUGAUGGAAUAAAAAAAUCAUAGUUUAAAAGAGAGGAAGUCAACUGCAACUCUCAACAGAGAGAGUUCUGUAACCUGAGCACCAGAACAGAAAAGAUACUGUCUCUCAUUCAAACUAACCAUGCUUCUGAAUGUGGUAGAACAUACUGCAGGGCUCCAACAUGGUGGGUAGAAACAAUCAUAUGGCAGAAGAAAGUGCUUCAGGCAGGAUCAAUGAGGAUGCUUACCAAAUGGGGAAUCCCAUAAUAAAAAUGGUUUCCUAUCUGUUUACUAGACCAACCAAGGUCAUUGCCAAAAGUCUUCAGCACAGAUUCACAAGUACACAUGCCAAUAUUGCUUCAGUAAAUCCACACUUCCAAGGCAAAGGCUCUCUUCAAAGCAAGCAUCUAAAGAAAAGAAAAAGCACAUCCAGGAGAGGGAUGGUCAACAACUCAUCUCUUGAGAGUUUAGGUUCUAGGGUGUAAUGCUUUUUCAUAGUUCCUUCAUUUUUGGAUACAGAUGGGUAGCCGUGUUGGUCUGCCAUAGUCAAAACAAAACAAAAUU